rnacentral:rRNA from 1 species
GAUGAACGCUGGCGGCGUGCCUAAUACAUGCAAGUCGAGCGAACGGACGAGAAGCUUGCUUCUCUGAUGUUAGCGGCGGACGGGUGAGUAACACGUGGAUAACCUACCUAUAAGACUGGGAUAACUUCGGGAAACCGGAGCUAAUACCGGAUAAUAUUUUGAACCGCAUGGUUCAAAAGUGAAAGACGGUCUUGCUGUCACUUAUAGAUGGAUCCGCGCUGCAUUAGCUAGUUGGUAAGGUAACGGCUUACCAAGGCAACGAUGCAUAGCCGACCUGAGAGGGUGAUCGGCCACACUGGAACUGAGACACGGUCCAGACUCCUACGGGAGGCAGCAGUAGGGAAUCUUCCGCAAUGGGCGAAAGCCUGACGGAGCAACGCCGCGUGAGUGAUGAAGGUCUUCGGAUCGUAAAACUCUGUUAUUAGUGAAGAACAUAUGUGUAAGUAACUGUGCACAUCUUGACGGUACCUAAUCAGAAAGCCACGGCUAACUACGUGCCAGCAGCCGCGGUAAUACGUAGGUGGCAAGCGUUAUCCGGAAUUAUUGGGCGUAAAGCGCGCGUAGGCGGUUUUUUGAGUCUGAUGUGAAAGCCCACGGCUCAACCGUGGAGGGUCAUUGGAAACUGGAAAACUUGAGUGCAGAAGAGGAAAGUGGAAUUCCAUGUGUAGCGGUGAAAUGCGCAGAGAUAUGGAGGAACACCAGUGGCGAAGGCGACUUUCUGGUCUGUAACUGACGCUGAUGUGCGAAAGCGUGGGGAUCAAACAGGAUUAGAUACCCUGGUAGUCCACGCCGUAAACGAUGAGUGCUAAGUGUUAGGGGGUUUCCGCCCCUUAGUGCUGCAGCUAACGCAUUAAGCACUCCGCCUGGGGAGUACGACCGCAAGGUUGAAACUCAAAGGAAUUGACGGGGACCCGCACAAGCGGUGGAGCAUGUGGUUUAAUUCGAAGCAACGCGAAGAACCUUACCAAAUCUUGACAUCCUUUGACAACUCUAGAGAUAGAGCCUUCCCCUUCGGGGGACAAAGUGACAGGUGGUGCAUGGUUGUCGUCAGCUCGUGUCGUGAGAUGUUGGGUUAAGUCCCGCAACGAGCGCAACCCUUAAGCUUAGUUGCCAUCAUUAAGUUGGGCACUCUAAGUUGACUGCCGGUGACAAACCGGAGGAAGGUGGGGAUGACGUCAAAUCAUCAUGCCCCUUAUGAUUUGGGCUACACACGUGCUACAAUGGACAAUACAAAGGGCAGCGAAACCGCGAGGUCAAGCAAAUCCCAUAAAGUUGUUCUCAGUUCGGAUUGUAGUCUGCAACUCGACUACAUGAAGCUGGAAUCGCUAGUAAUCGUAGAUCAGCAUGCUACGGUGAAUACGUUCCCGGGUCU